rnacentral:lncRNA from 1 species
UGGAUAGAGAUGUGUUUUGUUUUUUUUUUUUAAAUUGCAUCCUGAAAGGGCUCUAACUUGCCAGGAGAGCCUCAUGGCCAUUGUCUGUUGGGGCCCCACCUUCUUUGCCCAGCCCCAUCACUUCCACUAGACGUUUUUUUAAAAGACUUUAUUUAUAAGUAACCUCUGUACCCAAGGUGGGGCUGGAACUCACAACCUUGAGAUCAAGAGUGGAGGGCUCCGCUGACUGAGCCAGCCACGCACCGCUCCACCAGGCCGUUUUUAAACUCUCCUAUUUAUUUGCAUUUGUUUGAUGGGUUACAAGUCUGAAAUAAAAGAUUUUGAAAAGCCCUGAUCUAACUACGUUCCUUCAAACUCCAAAAUGUUCCGAUUCAAAAUUUAAAACAGUCUAAAAAACUUAAACACUACCAAAAAUUUAAAGAGAAAGAAGGAUCAAAUGAGAAAUACAGCCUAGUGACAAAUAAUAUUAGUGACCUAUCAAAGACCAUACUACAUUUUUUUUUUCCUUACUACAAGUCCAUGUGAGUCAGCCUAGCCCUAGGAACAAAUGUGGUGCUGUAAGCCAGUUAUUCCAUUUUCCUUUCCAAACAUUGGUCUCAGAUGGGUUUGUGACCCUUCCUGCCAAAGACAGUGCAGUAUAGACAUAACCUAGGGGCUUCUGGGAAAGAUGGUAUGGAAACUCUCUUUUGCCUUUUCUUUCCUGCUUGGAACAUGCCAUAUGAGGUAUAAUACUUGGAGCUGCUCCACCCAUUUUGUGACUUGAAGAAAGACUGAGGAUGACCCAGAAGAAAGAGACAUCGUGGGAUUUUCUCCAUCCAGUCUUAGGUAAGGUAAUUAAAGAUCUUUAUUGUUUAAACCCAUUUGUGGUGGGCACUUUGUUAUACACAGCCAAAAGCAUUCUGUGUGUGUGUGUGUGUGUGUGUGUGUGUGUGUGUCUGUUUAGCAGUUCAUUUAUUUCUGAUAGAAGUCUGGUACAAGUAUUCUAUUCUGUGGAGAACUGAUACGUUGAGAUUAGGGUGAGGCUAACUCUCCCCCUCAUCUCUGUCACAGUGGUAAGUAUGUGAAACAGGUCUAGCCAGAUAUUUCCCUUUGUCAUGGUGUUUUUUUUUUUUUUUUUAAUUAGGUUUAUUUACUUAUUUUGAGAGAGACAGAGAGAGAAGAGAGAGAGAGAGAGAGAGCAGGGGAGAGGCAGUCAGAGAGGGAGAGAGAACCCCAAGCAGGAUCUGCACCAACUGUGAGAUCCUGACCUGAGCCCAAAUCAAGAGUCAGAUGUUUGAUCAACUGAGCCACCCAGGCACCCCACCUGUGUUUAAUUUAGAGAUGGAUAUGUGGUCAUGAGAGGGAUGAUAGAACUUUCCAGAACUUACCAGAACUUUCUUUCCAGAGAUAUAAACAAAAACUAUCUUUCUGUUGGGUGAGCAAACAGAUUGAGUAUAUAGCUAGUUUUGCUGAUGCCAUCUUGCUUGAGAGAGAGAGAGAAACAUCCCCAAUAUGACGCUGAGCCCCUAAAAGCAACCAUGCUUAAAUAGAACAAAAUCUAGAUUUUGUGUUUAUGUGAGUCAGUAACUUGUCUUUGGAAAAUGAGCUAUCUUUUUUUUUUUUUUAAGUCAGUUUGAGUAGUACUUAUAUUGCUUGCAUCGAAACAACAAAAAUUGAGAAACAGUUUUACCCAAAACAUAGUAAAUUUAGAGAACUUAUUACCCUUGAAUGUGAUAUAGGCUGAAAAUAUGAAAGUUUAAGAAAAAUGUAAAGAAUGUAUCUGUGGUAGAAUUACAAAAAAACUACUAAGACCAUGAAAAAGUUUGUAGGACUUAUUCCAAGUUGUUUGGAUAAAGGUAAUUCUGUGGCAAGGAAAGCCACUGAAGAUUUUUUGAGCAAGAGGAGAAUCAAAGCAUUAAAUUUUUUUUAAAAUGUUUAUUUACUUUUGAGAGAGAGAGAGAGAAUGGGGGAGGGUCAGUCAGAGAGAGAGAGGGAGACACAGAAUCUGAAGCAGGCUCCAGGCUCUGAGCUGUCAGCACCAGAACCCAACGUGGGGCUUGAAUUCACGAACCGUGAGAUCAUGACCUGAGCCGAAGUCGGACGCUUAACCAACUGAGCCACCCAGGUGCCCCAGAGUCAGAGCUUUUGAAGGGAUCAUCUGGUAACAAUGUGCCAGAGAAGUAGAAGUAAGAGAAACCAAAAGUCAGGAAAUUCAUUCAGGAGGUGAUUACAGUGUAAUCGGAGCAGCAGUGAGGUUCUGAAGUAGGAGGAAGGCUGUUGCUUGAGGUUCAUGGCCAGGUAGAAGGAUGGGAAAAAGAAAUCUAGUUUAAGUGACUGGGAGAAUAGUGGUAUCAUGUCAGGUCUGGCAGAAAACUGACUGGAAGGAAAAGGGUGGAGUAAAGUGUUUGCUUCCGGAAAUAUACACUCUGAGGUAAGUAGGGUGAAAUGCCUCCUGGGCAGUUGACCUCUAGAUCUAGAGAAAUCAAGACUACAAAAGUGGAGUCAGGGGCAACAACACAGAAGUAAAAGGUAAGUAUUUGAAAGUGGAGGAAAUCACAGAGAGAGGAGAGCUGAAGGCCAAGCCUUGAGAAGGUCUGUUUUAGGGAGUGGUAGGAGUUGAGGAGCCAGAGGUGGAGAAGCAGGGGAGUGGGUUGUCAUGGAAUCGGUGGAGACAGGGCUUCUUCAGGCAGGCAGAACUUCCUCUUGCUAAUUCUGAGUCACAUCAUGACACAGGUCACGUCAGGACAAAUAUGUGUAUCGUUGUGUUUCAUUGCAGUGCUCUGUGUCAAUCCUGUUCCACAUCAGAGGUGCUGUGGAAGCAGUGAUUUCGUGACUGGUAUGGUUAAGCACGGAAAGAUCACAGAUGGCCGACGGUGUCUUUUGGGUAGCACACACGAGCACUUCCUAGUCUGCGGAGCCACCAUACUCUGAUGAGUGGCCCUUCCUGAGGCUGGCAGAGAGGAGAAAGCGAGGAGUGCCGUGGAAUGUUACCCAAUCAUUUCUCUCAGGAAACCUGUCAUUGUGACAGCCCGAUGGGGCAGGCAGGGGCUUGUCAUUUGCAUCAUAGCUCUUGGAACUCCUGCUCAAGGCACCCUAUCCCUGGUUGGUGUUGGCUCACCAUGGAAAUGUGGCCAGG